CUGUUGAGGAUAACUCCGGCGGAGAGGAGCAGAGAAUAUGUGCUGCUUUCGUUUCUGGAGCACCAGAGCUGUGAGUGCAGGCCCAGACGACACCACCUGAGAAAUCAGCACAGAAGGAGGCAGAAGGGCAAACGCAGGAGGAGACGGAGAGGAAGGACGGAUGCCGGGAUGUGAUGAUCACAGACUCAUUCAUCAUCACACAAGCUCUGGACGCUGACCCGGAUGUGGCUUCCAGCGAUCAACACACAU